GGAGAAGUGUCUGAGUGGCCGAAAGAGCUCGAUUGCUAAUCGAGUGUACGUUUUCGCGUACCAAGGGUUCGAAUCCCUUCUUCUCCG
rnacentral:tRNA from 1 species